rnacentral:lncRNA from 1 species
GAACUGAAGAAUGAAGCAUGACAUGUGCAUAUGGGAAGGGCAUCUGAGCAAGUCAAGUGAAGGAUAAAAGAAGAAGAAAGCAGCAGCUAAGUAGCAGCAAAGCACCAGCAAAAGAAAUACAGCAGAUCAUCAGUGCCGCGCGGCCGCGCCGGCUUGAAGAGGAAAAGCCGCAUGCCUGCGCCAGGAGAAAGUUAGGCAGCAAAGUGGCGCGCCGCGCCCGCGCCCCAAUUAGCUUACUGGGCCGCGCGACUGCGCCAGUCAGGCUCAACAAAGUUUGACUUUUCAAUUAAAAUCUGCUGUAACAUUUUUACUUAAAAGGGGUGUAUUUGCUAGUUGUGAGAUAUUACAUUUUAGCAGUUUUAGUUUCCAUUUC